GACGAACGCUGGCGGCGCGCUUAACACAUGCAAGUCGAACGGAAAGGCCUGCUUUCCCUUGUGGAUUGCUUGUACUCGAGUGGCGAACGGGUGAGUAACACGUGAGUGAUCUGCCCCCAACUUGGGUAUAAGCCUGGGAAACUGGGUCUAAUACCCGAUAGGACUGCAGGGUGGUGCCUGUGAUGGAAAACGAUUUUCUAGUGGUUGGUGAUGAGCUCGCGGCCUAUCAGCUUGUUGGUGGGGUAAUGGCCUACCAAGGCGGCGACGGGUAGCCGGCCUGAGAGGGUGCACGGCCACAUUGGGACUGAGAUACGGCCCAGACUCCUACGGGAGGCAGCAGUGGGGAAUAUUGCACAAUGGGCGGAAGCCUGAUGCAGCGACGCCGCGUGGGGGAUGACGGCCUUCGGGUUGUAAACUCCUUUCGACCGAGAGGAAGCCACCUGGUUGGAAGGGUGGUGACGGUAGCGGUAGAAGAAGCACCGGCUAACUACGUG
rnacentral:rRNA from 1 species